GGGCCCGUCGUCUAGCCUGGUUAGGACGCCGCCCUCACACGGCGGAGGUCCGGGGUUCAAGUCCCCGCGGGCCCACCA
rnacentral:tRNA from 2 species